AUGUUGUUGAAAUCCAGGCGAUGGAGACACUGGUGGGGGGCUUAUUCCAAAAUUGUAUAAGCGGCAGGCUCCUCAAAACCUGGGUCUGACUUGAAAGAAGCCGUUUCCAGAUCAGUUCUUGUUCCUCUGCAAAGUUGUUAUUUGAACCUGAGGCUCAUGUUUGAGAAUACCGCUUCUCUGUUUUUCCAUUUCCUACAGAAGAGCCCAGAACUGAAGUAUUUACCCUCGUUUCCUUUUGAUCUAAGAGGUUUCGGUGGCUCUGUCUAGUAAGAGUUUCAGGAUGCAUGCUGUUUACCGCGUCAGAGCAGAACCGUGACUCAGAGUGUGAGAAAAUGGCUCUCCACUUCCUAGGAAGUUUUCAAUAUAAAAACACGCUGUGCUUUUGAAUGAAAAGUAAAAUUAAAAGCCAAUGGAUGGAAAUUUCUUGUAACAAGACCUAAAAAACCCCAACUCUUCCUAUUCUUAAAAAUAAGAAUUGUUUUUGUCAAAGGAUCUGAGACCUGAAUAACGUUUUUUGAAGUGAAUUUGGCAGACAGUGUAAAAGUCCAAGAGCCUGUAAUCCUUUCCUGGGGAAGCCCCUUGGCUUCCAUACUCGCCGUGCUUGUGUGUCUUACAGCCAAAGACAGAGGCAAACUGGUCUUGAGUAAUAAAAUUACUUUUGCAUACA